AGAUUUAUUGUUGCGAAAAAUCUAAAAGAUUGGAUUCACCCACGGAUGCAGAAGUAUAGAUAUAUCUGCUACCUCCAGUUGAAGGAGCUGAAAGGAAAAGGCAUUAUUUGGUUUGGUUAUUACUACAUCACUGAAGGAUAGCCCUUCGGGAAAUGGCUUCUCCUAUUCUAGAUGCAAGCAUCUGAAUUCCAUUCAGGCUCACUACCAGGUGCUGAUUCUUAAGCCUUGACUGACACAUGUGGAAUUAAGGAAGGGUGGUUUAGAAUGAUAUCAUCUUUAAAGCAGCCAUAUGAAAAAAGAAACCUUCACAGAAGUCCAUUCAUACGCUAUUAUAAGCAUGAUUGUCCUCGGUUCUUUCUGUUACUUUAGACGGACAAGUGAGAAGAACAAUGCGGAGACAAGGACAACUGACAGUGAGGCUGACUGUCCAUGGGCAGGCACUGUGCACCAGAUGCACACAAAUGUCAGUAAUGUGUUUUGUAAAAUGA
rnacentral:sRNA from 1 species